CCUCAGCGCUGCCAGCUGUGGAGUCAAACAGCAGACGGCUCAUUGUGGAACAAAAUUCUAAAUAUUUCAUAUUUGUGGCGUUUUUCUGCUCCAGUGUUUUAAAUUUUCCAGCCUGAAGUUUGCGAGGAGGACGGACUCGAUUAGCCGCUGUACCUUCUUCAUGUUGCUGCCCAGUUUGGGGUAGGGAGGCUUGUUGACUCGGUCCCAGUCCACCGGUACUUUGAUUUUCUCGUACAACUGGAAGAUCACCAGGGCGUCGUCGAUGUCUCUGUAACACACACACACACACACACGUCACAUGACCUUUCAUGAAGCACAGUCCGCCUGCAUUAUCAGGCGCGUUAGGCUCCGUUCUGAUCCACGUUUCUAAAGGCAGGAAGUGUCUGACUAGUGACUAGUGUUCUUACGCGUAGAGGUGGUUGACACGAGGGUUGACGCCCAGAGAGUUCAUCCAGUUCCUGAAGGUUCGCUCCUCCCUGGUUUCACCUGGAGGAAAACACCGGAUUAAAAACGCACAGUCAGGAAAUACUGCAGAGGAGGCGUAACGGACCUGCAUCUGUUCACGCCACCAAGAAGAUCGGUCAUCAGACUUCACUGCAAAAACAUCUGGUCACAUUAGUGAGCGGCUGAUUGAGUUCAACCUACUCAGAGGUAACUCGGGGUCGACAAACUCUGACCGCCUACUCUGGAGUUAAACGGUACUACGAAGGUGGAUGAGAUGUUGGUUAGUUGAGUCGGUGUUCGCAUAAAAGGGGCGUGUUCGGCCGUGUAGACAGAGGUAUUCACAAGUAGAACGCACGUAGAUAGUGUCAGGAUAUGACGAGAUUAAAGACCAAAUCUAAAACCGCGGCCGCCGACAAAGCCAGGGAGGCUUGUUGCUGCAUCACAUUGAGUAAAUUUGUAGCCUAAUUAUCUUCAGUGUUCUUAUUUUAUGUGUAAUAUGAUUAAGAUUUAAAAGGGACAUCUGCACAUAAGGUCCACUGCAGUAGAAGAAAAGGAGCCGGCGGAGAGGGGGAAUAAUCCCAGACAGAAUUUAAUUUCCAAGAUUAAUCUACAAGUAAAAAACCUGAAUAUUCUCUGACAUUAUAGUCACACAUUUAUGAGAGAAACUUCACUUUGCAAGGCUGCAACAUCACACACACACGCGCGUCUGCCGUGUAUUAUGCAUGAACUGGAAAGUUAUAUUAGACUUUGCAAUCGGAUUUAGCAGUGAGGAAACACUCCUGAGUUCAGCCCAGGCUGCGGAGCUCGCUGUCUGAACGUGACGCUGCUGUGUUCAGAACUUCAGUGCAGCCGCAGUCGAGCCAAUCGGGAUGAAAUCUAAACAUGUUUUAUGAAGCGGUGUGGAUUAAUAUCUAGCUUCUCAUCAUUAACACUGAGUACAGAUGUGGUGUGGAGUCCACGUGCAGGGUGACCUCCCGGUUUAGAGACCUGUCCACCUUUGGCUUAUCCAGGUUUGCAGUGAGAAAAGGUCAGAGGGCCGCGAGGUCUCACCUUCGAUGGAGCUCCAGUCGAUGUCCUGGUUCUCGGGUUUCUUCAGAGCCGGGUACUUGUUGAACAGAUUGGCAGCGAAAGCCAAGUUCAGUUUGGGGUUGCCGCGGACGACGUCUGUCGGCAUAACGAACUGUCUGCACCCGAGCCGGUCGGCCUGAUCCAGCAUGCACUCGGCCCGCUUCAGGUCGUCCUUCUCCUGCAGGGACGAGGACGAGGACAACAAAACUUUACGUUUUUAUACAGUCUGUUUUAUUGUUCCCAUCAGUGUUUUUAUUUCAGAUUAUUGUCGGUGUUUUAUCCUGUUUCAUAUUUGUAUUAUUUCUAAUAAUCUGAUCUUAUUUGCCUCCUGAAAUGUUUUCACUCUGGUUCAAUCAGCACUUUGUUUUGAAAAGUAAUGAAAUAAAGAUUAUUAUUAAUACUUUAGAAUGAUUAUAAACUACCAGCUGCACCCAAAGUUUUAUAAAUUUAAUUAGAGAAUUAUGUAGAUAGUAGUUUCCUGAAGCUUGUUAAAAUAUGUAUAAUAUUAUAUUUGAUUCCAGCCGUUUAUAAGAGCUACUGAGAAAGUACUUUAAUACCACUACAUAAUAAAUGAGCAAAUAAAUGUUGAGUGUUCUUCCCUCA